GACUAAACUGUGUUAGUAAUGUGAUUGAUAUAGUUUGUGGUGUUGUUUGAUGUGUCACUGAGACUUAUUGUUUGUUUGUCUUUUUAAUUUGUUACUUGUACUGUUGAGAUUACAUAAAUUAUAUUAAGGUUGUUGAGAGUACCUUUUGUUUCUGAAUAUUUUUUUCCAGUUUAGUUGUGUAAGUUAUGUGUAUCCGCCUUUGUGUUUGUUGGGAUUGUCUCUUGUAUCUCUUGGUGUGGUUGUGUUUGUUUUUCUUUUAUUUGAUGAGUAAUAUGUAAACAAAAAUCAUUGUUAGUUGUAUUUAUCAGAGUUUGUAACUUACUCUGCUUUUUUGUUUAGGUAAUUUCACUGAUCUUGGUUGUCGUCUUUGUCUUCUUCGUAAGCAUAUGCGAAAGUAAGUUUGUAAAUUGUUAAAUAGCUGGUCGUGUAGUUUGUAUUUGUUUAGCUGGCUCAAUGUAUGUGUCAUUGAGUUUUAGUUAAGUUGGUUGGUUUGGUAUAUUUGUUUUGAAGUUUAUUUGUAAGAUUAAACAAAAAUAGAAGUGAUCAUUAAUGAUUCGUCUUUUUUGGGAUUCUAGUUUUUGGUGUUUUGAUUGUUUGCGUUAUUGUGGUUUCUUUUAAACUGUAAAAUAAAGAUUUGUGUAAAAUUAGAUUGAUAAGUAAGGGAGAUAAAUAGACGACCACAAAUCUUGGGUAAGAAAUAUUUUUGAUUAUUGAUGUUAGCACAAUAUAGAUAGUAAUAUAAAGGGAAUUAUGUGUUGAUUGUUUCUUACGGAUCAAUGAGGAGAUGGAUAACGACUCGAGUUGUUUCUUUUGUGAGGUCAGAGCCUUGGACAGAACGGAUUUGCCCAACAACAUUUGCGAGUUUAAAUAUCAGUUAUGAUA
rnacentral:lncRNA from 1 species